GCUAAGUUUUAGCGAAACGCUUGUAAAGAAAAGUACGGUUGGCACCUAUUUAUAAAUGGUCAUUUAAUAAAAAUUAUUUCACUAAUUUAAAAGUGUCACAUUGCUGAACAUUUUUAUUUCUUUAAAUAUUCGAUACUAUAUAUCAAAAAUAUUAAAUAUUUAAUAAUUCAAAUAGUACAUUGAGGAUGUACUCUGCUGGUGAUUCUAGUGGUGACGGCCUCAGUGGUCUAAAUCAAUUUGCUGGCAUGAGUGGGUCGAUAGAUUGGGCAGCAAUGGCCCAACAAUGGAUUCAAAUGCACGAUACUGGAAAUUUUUCUUCUAUGCCGGAUGCGCCACCUCCCCCUAACAUCAGUAAUACGAAUUGUAAUCCGAGCGUGGUAAAUAAUAGGUCGAUGUCUGCGAUCAUCACCCCGGCAAUCAAAAAAUCUUUUGAUGAAAAAGGGGAAGCCGAUAUGGACAUGGAUGAAGAUGAAGAAAAUAGUGGACGAGGAGAUACACCACCACCACCAGCGCCAUCGAUGCAACUAGGAAAAAAUAGAGAGCAAACAAUUAUGCAAUCACCAGCUCCAUGGUAUAUGCAACAACAAAGUCAACUCCUUGGACCACCGGCCAAUGAAAAUAUAGUUGGAUUAGGACAUACUAAUGCUGAAAGUACACCACAAUGGGGUUCCACAGUAUGGCCACCUCGCAUGAGUUUACCUCCACCUGUUACACCACCAAUGCUAGGGGUCCCGUUGAACGGUCCAAUGCAAAAUCCUACUGCACAUAUACCAUCUCUACUAAAAAUGAAUGUACCAAACCCAAACAGUGUAAGAAUGAUGGCACCUAAUAUAGACGAGCAAAACACAGCUGCAUCUGUGGUGGAUGCCAAGAAAAGGAAAAUGCUUCCGGCAUGGAUAAGGGAAGGGUUAGAAAAAAUGGAACGAGAGAAGCAGAAACAGUUAGAAAGAGAGCAAAACAAAAAGCUUGAAGAAACAGAGAGUAGUGACUCCACUAUAUAUACGUCUGUAGGUACAACCGUUGAUGCAUCGCACACGGUAAACAUGAAAUAUAAACAACCUGCGGAGCAAGAAAGAUCAGGUAUUGAAGGUGAGGACGAAGCUGAAGACUUGGAUGGUGUGGAAAUAAACGACGACACAUUGGUACUACCUAAAACAACAAGUACUAAUGACGACGAUGGUAGUGCCACUAGUGGUAAUGAAUAUGAAGCAGAUCCUGAAAACAAUUCCGACAGUUAUAAGGGUAAACGAAGCUAUGAAGAUAGACUCUCUGAAUUGAUGAUAGUGGUGCGAACAACAUUAACUGAGCUCUUACUUGAGGUUACAAACCAGGAGAUUGCAAUCUUGGCGCACGAAGCAGUCAAUGCGCACAAAGCCAAAGCGUCAGCAGCUCAAGUGAUCCGUAAAAGUGCAUUAUCUUCCAUAACCGGGAAAUUAGGCUUAGCAGCAUAUGACGAUUCUACAGGUGACGAGAGUAGCGAUUCAGAUGAUGAUACCAACGCGGAUAAUGACCCAAACAACGAUUCUGAAGAGGAGAUUAAGGCCUCCAUACGCACGAAACGUCGCGCUUUCGCCAAGAUUACAGAUGAAAUUGAGGAACGUAUUGCUGCUAGUGCGGCACGUGAAGAACAGAAGUUAAAAUACUACACUUCAUUGGAAAAACAAAAGCAGGAAGAUGAACUUUACAAGGACAACGCAGGGAGCGAUGAAGAUAAAGCAACGUCGACAAACACAGUUAGUAAAUCUUACGACGGGGAUUUUGGUGAGACAACUGAAACAAAGUUACAACACUCAAACGGUAAGCGUCAAAAAGACCGUCAUACCCGCAAAGAGCGCACAACCCGUUUUAGCGAUAAUAAAGAUUCGAAAAGCGCAGCGGCAGUUGCGGCAACGUAUAUUUCAAAAAUGCAAGGUGUGAAUGUUAAUCCAAAUGGCGGCACACUCUUACCGAUUUCAACGACAAAUACUUCCUCGUUGGCGGUGGCGACACUUACAACCUCAUCAUCGAUCAAUGCAAUGCCAUUGGAAAGUUCUCAUGUGGCUUUCAAUAUAACUGGUAGUGGACAAAAUUUCGAUGACAGCAGCAGUGUGUCCGCACUAAAUAAAAAUUUACUGAAUGCCGCAGAGGCUGCAUAUGAGAAAGUAACGAAAAGUCAUCGUUCAAAUAGCAAUCGUUCGUCUGUAUCACGUUCGGAAAAGAGAGAUCGUGAUCACCGUAGUAGUCGAUAUGGUCGUAGGGAUUAUGAAAGUGAUCGACAUAGGGAGCGUGAACGGGAACGCGAACGAAAAAGUAAAAGAGGUCGUGAAAGUGAGCGAGAUAGAGGUGGAGAUCGAGUGCGUCGUCAUGAAAAACACCAACAUAAACAUAAAGAUGAGCACACAAGUGAUGAUGAUGAUGAUGAUGAUGAUGAUGAUGAUGAUGAAGCUGACGAAAAAUGUGAAUCGAAAGCAUCUUCAAGUGAUACAGAUAGUACAAGUUCAUCAUCUACAAGUUCAUCAUCCACAUCGCACCACUCAAGUCAUUACAGUCGCACAUCGACUUCGUCCAAAAGAAGACGUGAGCAUGAUUAUGAUCGGCGAAUUCGCCGAGAUGAUCGUGGCAGUCAACGUAGCCGCAAAAGCGAGGGUCGUCGCAGUCGUAGUCGUAGUCGUCAACGCAGCUAUCACCAUCAUCAGCGGAGCAGCAGUUAUCGCCACUCCAGCGCUGAAGAUGACAAAGAUAGUCGCAAUCGUUACUCGUCCUCGCGACAUGGUUCGUCGAAAAAACGUUCGCGUUCUAGAUCACGAUCCACAUACUCAUCAUCGUCACAUUGGCGUAAACGUUAAUUGGUUGAAACUGGCGUAUACAUACAGAUAUAUUUUCUUGAUAAUUAUAGGCAACAAAAUUGUACAGUUUUUCCAUCAAUCAAUUUUUAGUUGUCCUCAAUAUUUUUCUUUUUCGUCUUCAUUUUAAUCGCAGGUAGUGUAUUUGACAGUUUUUCUAUUUCUGAAUUAUUGGAAAUAAUGGAAUUAAUGUAUAUAGAGAAAUUCUACUUUUCAAUCAAAACGUGUUCUAUAUUAUAACUUUUGAAAUCUAAUAUGAGACAUACUCGUACAUAACUACUCAUGUUUGUGUUGCGUAAUUAUCAACUAAAAUAUUAAUAUGAAUAAAUAAUUUUACUCAAGGCAUAUAGAAGGACUGACGUAAAAAAUUAGUUUCUCGAGACAUCUAACAAAGAAUAGUGAUUAAAUAAAGGAAGGCAAAUUUUAAGUUGAAUUUGGGUCUUUGUGUCGACGGUGGUUAAGCUAUUCAAAUUUUUUUGGUCAAAAACAGCCAUGUUUUCACGGAUCGCUGGUCGAUCCGGCUUUAUAGCAUAUGCGGUGAACGCUUUUGGUGAUCUCUUCACAUCACCACGCGUCACUGCUGUGGAGGAUCUAGCCUCAAGGGGAGACUGUUUUCGCAAGAGUGAUGAUUGCUCGAUAUUGGCAUCUUGUCAUGAACUUGGUAACUCUUUGCUACUUUUCCGACUUUUCCCACUUUAUGACGUCUACAACUAGAACCAGCGUCAACCACGGUUAUCUUCUUCACCAGCUGGGCAAAGAACUACCAACUCGAGCUGAAACUAAUGUUGUGCUGUGUAAUCUGUAGAUUCUAGGUUGCUACCUUCUUUAACUACUCUUAAGCCGCUACAAAAAAAUACAUAUCCCAUCAAAGGCGGCUUACAACAAAAGUGUGUCCCUAUUUAUAGGAAAUUUCAAAUUACAAAUCUGUGAUAAUGAUAAAUACGUCAUCAUUUAAUUAA
rnacentral:misc_RNA from 1 species